AAACCCCAGUGUCACAAAAGAAUUGUCUAAGUUCGUUUAAUACCAGCAGUGUAAUUUUUAUAAUUUAUAGUCCAUAGUGAAUGAGCAAACCCCACACUUUUAUAUACACUAGAUAUUCUCACAUAUUAAAAAUUUUGUGGUGGUUUUCUUAAAGGCUUUCCUCUCCUUAAUGUUCCAUUAAAGUGAUUUGAAUUAGAUGGAAGGCAUUAAUAGAAUUACCUCCAAAAUACAUAGUCUAGAGCAAAACUUCUGAAAAUCUAAUCUGAGACCUACUUACACUCAGACUUUUCAUUGGUGAAAAUGAAAAUUUCUGUCUCAAAUAACGUACUGGAUCAAUACACAAGUAGGGCUCAGGUGGUGGUGUCCUGGAGCUGGCUUUCACAAGAGGCUUACAAAUGCCAACUGGCAAUUUACAGGUAUUUUGUGAGCUGAUUGUUAAAAAUAGGCAUCAUUUGGAUAAGGCAGUCACUUCUAAAGAAUUAUCACCUCCUAAUUAUUUUACUGUGUUUUGUGAUUGUGUGUGCUUUUGAGGGAUUUUACAUCUGUUGUAUUUGUGUAAAUACUACAAAACAUUGUGUUGCCACUCAUUUCUUCCUAACUCGGUGUUCAGUGACAUGGAGCUGAUGGCUAGAAAUUAGCCACACUGUCAAAGUUUUCACCAUGGACAUCGACAAAUGCUGUACCUCAGACUGUGAUUUAUUAUUUUAGAGGUUUUCUAGAUUAAAGAAAAUGAUAGAAAAAAAAUUGUUAAUACAGAUAAUUGUGAAUGGCCAAAGAAUUUGAGGAAAUAUUCUUCUAGUAUUCCCUUAUCCACUACAGCCAAGAUUUUGCUGACAUCAUUAAUGAGCAAGUACAGUCCCAGUGUGGGUCUUUGUUGUUUCAGGAAAUGAUAAUAUAAACAAACAUUCUUGUCUGAACUAAUUGGACAAUUGCAACCAUAGAUAAGCUAUGGAAGAGUUCAACAAAAAUCAAGGAAAGAAUGCUGUGAAAUUCAACUGCUUGUAUGGCAUUCACAAGACAUAAAUUAUUGUAUAUUUUAAAUUUUUUAUAAAGUUUGUGCUACAUAUUUUUUACAGUAAAAGCUACAAUAAACUAAUACACUUGUCUGGUUGUGUUACCAGCACACCACUAGACCCAGGAUUCUGAAAUUUUAACAAGCUCCCCCAGUUGAUUUUUAUACAAGCUAAACUUUAAUAACUGUUACUCAAAUAUUCCUAGUAAGGAUGGAAAUCAUACCUACUUUUUUUUCUGUACUAUAGGUGUGCCAAAGUAAUCUCCUGGGGCAUAGGACAUGAGCUGAAUAAUUUUCAUUUACCAAAAUAAGCUUAAUUAAAUCUCAAUUCUCUUAAGAAAAAAAGGGAACUUUGAAAGAAGAAAAUGCACUUAAUUACUGUCUGAUUAUUUACAUACUUUGUAUCACUUAGAAAUUUGAAGGAGAGUUUAUUUUAUUCUUAACUUUUACACAAAAUUUGGUCUUUGAAUUUUAAAAUAUAAUAACAAAAGACACUUACGAUAUAAUAAUAAAAGGCACUUACAGUGCAUAUUCCCCUUUCCUCACACUUAAUCUAGAUAUCUUUUUUAAAGACUGGACCACAACAAAUUAUGUUACUAAUUUUUUACAUUUUUAAAUUUUUGAGUGAAAUAUAUGUAGUAACAGAGACUAAACAGGGAGAGAAAGGAACAAUACCAUGGAACUAGCUGAGAAAGGAAUGAUUGACAAGAAAGUAACAUUCUACAUGCACAAAUUCUACAGCCUUUUAGGCCUUUUCACUUAUAGGGAAGAGAUUGAAAUGUGGGCUGAGAAGGAAUUGUCAAAGUGACUUUUCUUCUGAAAAGAAAGGAGUAAGACAAUACAUCUUAUGUCUUAUAAAAUUUAUUUUUAAAGUACCUGUUUUUAAAAUUAGAAACUAAGAACAGAGAGAGUUCAGGGUAAUAGAACGAGAAAAACAUAAUAGAAGGGACCGUCUAGCCCAGUCCCUCCAUUUUAUAGAAAUAAAAAUUGAUCCUUAGAAACGUUAUCUGACUUGCCUAGGGUGGAACAGUAGUUACUAGAACAUUAUUAAAAACCAAUAAUUUAAUUUUCGUUGGGUUUCUAGUUUUUAUGUGUGCCAAAGUUCAGGCCCUAACAAUAUAAAACUAGUAUGUAGUAGAGUCAUUUUUUUUUUUUUAAAGUCCUUUGGGCCACAGUUACCAAAGGAAUGAACUCAUGCACAAUAAAUAUGAAUAAAGAUCAGGAUGGUUUUACCUCCUCUCGUUUGUGCUUUUUUAUUCCGAUGUAUAGAG
rnacentral:lncRNA from 1 species